UGAUACUAUCUUAAACAAAAAUAAAUUUGGUCCAGCAUUUGCCAACUCUUGCUCAGGUGACCUGUUCCUCUGUUUUCCCAGGGAAUACAUAAACUAAAAGGAACCAAGCAGUAAAAACACCUGAAGCAGUCCAACAGCUAUUCCAGAGACUUAACAAGAGUAAAUCUGCAAGACAAAGCUAGCCAUAAUGGAAACAGGUUUUGGAUGGGUUAGAGACAAGUGCAAUAGAAAUGAGCUUGUAAAGAUUUAGAAUGGUGACACAAGGAAUGGAAGUCUUCCUGUUAUAAAUCCUAAUCUUCCAGUGUUCAUUAUGCAGAAAACUAUAUUGAUGUGCCUCAAGAUGGGAGAGGUAAGAUCAGACUCCAAGGAGCAGCUUUCAAGAAAACUAACUAAAUGACAGAGCAGCAAAAAAGGUGGAUCAGCAGGAGAGAGAGAGAAAGUCUACAGGAUGGAGGUUGAUCAAGUCACCUAAAGAGAAUCACCAUUCAGACAACUUCUGUAGGCAAACGACGUAGAGUUUCCAGAAGGAAGUAACCUGUAAGCAAUAUUUUAAUUCUAGAUCGAUAAUACUAUCUCUGAAAGGAAGCAUCAUAUCUGAGGAAAUGCUCAGCAGAAAGAAAAUCAAGUUGCUCUGGCAAAUCCAUGCAAAGGUGGAAAAAGGUCACCAGAGAAACCUUUGAUAGAUAACUUUUCUUUGCCUCCCCAUCCAGCUAUUGCCAUUUGAGCCUAAUCCAAGUGUCUGAAUAGUGAAUGUGAGUUUUGCCAAAGCUCUCUGGUGGAUACGAUGCCACAACAGGGCAGAUGCUGCCAAUCCCAGUCACUGGUGCCCAUGCUGUCACACGUUACCAAAUAAGUGAAGCCCUUUCAUCCCAUCAGAUUGCAGGGUAGCAAGUGUUUCAACCUUACCACGCAUUUUAAGGCCACCGAUAAUAUUUCUGCUAAGACACCAAGCAUCUGAGCGCAUUGACUGGCUCCAGCUUCACAGGUCCACCUGAAAGGGGGAACUUUAUUCAGGAGCAGAAUAGGUGCCCUGCUCCACCCCUCAUACCGCUUGAAGCGGAAAGAAAAUUAGAAGGAAAACAACAAACUGCACUGCAAAAGCAAUAACACCAUUGUCCCUCUGGUUUACACGGCAAUAAUCCAAUUCCCACAGCCACUGACUGGCUUCAGAGUUCACCCCUCACAAAUCGAAGGGGUCCUUUGUAAGCCAGAGCUGCAAUGAUGCUCCUGCAGAAGGGUAGAGAGUGCUCAGUCACCAAGUUACAGUAGCUUGACUUAACUUGCCACAGGACAGGUUUAUUUUGAACUCAUACACUAUAAUUUACAGGAACAACCCCUGUGCAGUUCAAUCUUACAUGAAGAACCUGGCAGUGACAACCAAAAAGAGAAGUUAAUCUGGAAAUCACAAUACGAAGCCAUGCUAAUGCCAAAUUAUUUCUUUAUCCCUUGUAUUUUGUCCUACAAAUCUGAAUAAUUUUAUAAUGACCAUAUAUUUUAUUGUAAAACCAAUUUCAGGAACACCUUGUCUGUGAAGUAGCAUUAAGUUUUCCUUUUAUACCUCUUUGAUUUGUGCACAUUUUAGUCUUCUCCUGAACUGCUAAGGGGUAGAUUAUUAACUGAGUGAUUUGAGCUAAUUCAUGGCUCCCGUAGUGCAUGGUGGUACCUGACUAAACCCAUCCAGGGAAAAAUAGUGCUGGGGGAGCCAACGAGGUUGGAGACCACAGAGGGGGAGGCCAGUCGUAUUAGCCUAGAGCUGCUCAGUCUUCAAAGAAGGCCCAGUCUGAGUAGGGUAAGAGCAUGCUUAUGCCCCUUUUCUUUGCAAACCAUCCAGUGAAUAAAAGCAGAGUCUCACUGAGGGAGGAGGGGCAGGCAACAGCUAGUACAUGUCCAGAUGUCACCGAUAAACGUGCAACCAUGCAGGCAUUAGGCUCCAUCUUAUAAGCGUAAGGCCUGGCCCGUUCUCACUCUUCACCGAAGCUCCUGCAUACACGUCUCUGCACGCAGCUCGGCUUGCUGUGGAGCCAGGACAGAGCUGCCACGGUGCAGCUGGCGUGUUUAUGUGGUGAGAAAUGUAGCACUUCAAAUAAAAGGGAGCCAGUGGUUUUUUUAAAACCUUGAUUCACUUUAAACCUAAGAGAUUUUAGUUUUCUAAGAAGAACAUUUCAUUAGAGCAUUGCAGAAGCAGUCAAAGCACUUUAGUUGGAUUUGGGAACAAGAAGGAUCUCCGGCAAAGAAACGCUGUAAAGAUCUGGCUCAGACGUGCGCCCUGCCAGGGGGUCACAGCUGCAGCCAGGACAGGGCCUGGCUCCAGGCAGUGGAGGCCGACCGAGUGAGGGUCUAAGCUGGUGCUAUUAGUGCCAGCUUGCAAGAAGAGCAAAGGAAACCACGUAGCUGCAAACCAUCUCGUCCCACGCCUCUGCAGGCAUCAUGUCUUCCCCCCGCUCCCACACUGGCUCUGAGAUCUCUCACCCCUGCAGACACCCACCAAAGCACAUAUCCACAGCUACCAGAGUCUUCUCACACCGGCACUUUGCAGUACCCAUUUGCUCCUUUUACCUGCUCUCAGCACCUGCUUUUGUUGUGAGGUUACGACCACCACAGAGAUCUUUGUAAAAAGCUUAUGUUCAUGAAGGAAUUUGUAUUAGAUUCUGGUUUGUGUGACUUACUGUAUUUUGUAAGGGUUUUUUUCCCUUUGGGAAUUGUGCGUUAUUAAUGAGCAGUUUUAUGCUUUACUUCUAGUAUGUGUAUACCUUGUAAUUGAUGUGCAUUUUUUUUUGAAUCUCUGCAGAGCCAGUUAACAUAAGGUAGAUACUCUCUGGCUGAAAUUCUCAUUUUGCCUACCAACUAAUUUUUGGCUACACCCAUAUCAUAGCUGAUGAACAACUUUUCAUCAAUUAUAUUGCUAUAGUCACUUGUUAGCCUAUCUACUUUAGCAGAAUAUAAGAUCCCAAAUAAGACUAAUACUAACUGGGCCUUAAGCUAAAGGGAAAUAGUGCACCAUGUAUUGUUUCCCUACCACCAUCACCAUCGGCCCCUCUCCCACAUUGUUUGAGACACUGUAGAAGAGCGCUGGCAAGACAAACAACAACCUGAACAUCUCAGCCAUCUCUAAAGCGGUGCUCUGCGAUCCCUGUACAUUCGACUCAUGGAAAAUAAUUGUGCCAACCCAGAUAAACCGCACUGAAUUCUUCAACUAAUUUUGCAGCUAGAGGCUGGGUCGAGCACAAUCUCUCCUUAAAAAAAAAGAUUUUUUGAACUAAAAUAAAUAUACUUUCUCUAUGUCCAUCCUAAUGUAAUUGGAAAAAAAUUGGAUAUAAAAUUACCCUUUACCGAAGUGUAUAAUGAUAUAGCAAAGGCAACAGCCCAUUUCAGUGGCUCUUACAAUACUCAUGCUCCAGCAAGCCUCUUUCCUUGUCCAACACGUUUUCUCUCUUAUAUUUUACUAGGAACUGAGUGUCCAACUUCCUAAUGAUUGCUGUGUAUAACAUAGGACAUAAAAAAUAUGUUAUAAAGCUUGUGCAGGAGUCGGUGUUGUAAUUAACCAUCAUUUGUGCCUGGUAUCGAUCUUACAAACAAAGUGAAAACAAUCUGGCCUCUUAAUGUAUACUUCAGCAUAUUGUAGCAGCUAUUUUAGAUAACUGUUUUUGAUAGUUUUAUUAUGGCUGUAAUUUCUGUAUGAGGACUGUCCACAUGAAGAAGUUAUGAAGUAACAUGUCAUAGUGAUUUUUAAAGUCAGUUCUAUUUAACCACCAGUAACAGUCUCUGAAAAGUAGGGUAACAAAAACAAAAACCCACCCACCCACCAGAAAGAAAUAUGUUUUCCAGCCUUGGAAACUCUCUGGUGCAAGACAGGCAUUUCUUCUAGUUCUCCUCUUACAUAAAUGGUAAAUUACUAGGAAUAUAAGAUAUACGGUACAAUAGUCUAUUUUAAUAGUCUGCAGUCAAAUUUUAGGCUAAUUAAGCUAACUAGAAAUUCUAGGGUUACAGUAGUUACUCACUCUUUAUUGAUACAUUGACAAUAACACUGUUUACAUAACACUCGAUGUUUGAAUUCAAUACGUGCCAGUGUCCAGUGAUUUGCUAAUCUAGUUUUUUGAUCUAAUCCUGUCCUAUUUUUUGCAGUAUACUCUAACUUCAUAUUAUGAAUCAUGUUGUCUUUCUACAGUGAUUGCCAGGUAAACCAAAAAUGUGUUUUACACUGCUAUUGCACUGCUCUUGUCUUUAUAUACAGUAGUUUUUAUAAAAAUGUCCUUAGGUUUUAAUAAAUGAGUGUAAUGUAAACUGAUCUCUAUAAUAAAACUUGCUUUAAUGUUUCAA